AUCACUGCGCUAGGGGCAAUGAUGCAGUCAGUGAGGUUUUAACUGAGGUGUGUCAAUAUCUGGUUGAAAAUUACUUUUAAACCCCCUCUCUGACCUGGCUUUAGCCCUGGCCAUUGAGAAAAUCUGGAAGUGCUCCCUUCUUGGGUAAAGCC